rnacentral:rRNA from 1 species
GUCUACGCCCAUACCACCCUGAAUGUGCCCGAUCUCAUCUGAUCUUGGAGGCUAAGCAGGGUUGGGCCUGGGAAGUACUUGGAGGGGAGACUAAGUUAAGAAGGACAGGAAGGGAAU